rnacentral:sRNA from 1 species
UAAGAAGACACCCACCAUUUGU